AACGAACGCUGGCGGCAUGCCUAACACAUGCAAGUCGAACGAGACCUUCGGGUCUAGUGGCGAACGGGUGCGUAACGCGUGGGAACCUGCCCUUAGGUUCGGAAUAACUCCCCGAAAGGGGUGCUAAUACCGGAUAAUGUCUUCGGACCAAAGAUUUAUCGCCUUUGGAUGGGCCCGCGUUGGAUUAGCUAGUUGGUAGGGUAAAAGCCUACCAAGGCGACGAUCCAUAGCUGGUCUGAGAGGAUGAUCAGCCACACUGGGACUGAGACACGGCCCAGACUCCUACGGGAGGCAGCAGUGGGGAAUAUUGGACAAUGGGCGAAAGCCUGAUCCAUCAAUGCCGCGUGAGUGAUGAAGGCCUUAGGGUUGUAAAGCUCUUUUACCCGGGAUGAUAAUGACAGUACCGGGAGAAUAAGCUCCGGCUAACUCCGUG
rnacentral:rRNA from 1 species